UGGGGAAUAUUGGACAAUGGGCGAAAGCCUGAUCCAGCCAUGCCGCGUGAGUGAUGAAGGCCCUAGGGUUGUAAAGCUCUUUUGUGCGGGAAGAUAAUGACGGUACCUCAAGAAUAAGCCCCGGCUAACUUCGUGCCAGCAGCCGCGGUAAUACGAAGGGGGCUAGCGUUGCUCGGAAUCACUGGGCGUAAAGGGUGCGUAGGCGGGUUUCUAAGUCAGAGGUGAAAGCCUGGAGCUCAACUCCAGAACUGCCUUUGAUACUGGAAGUCUUGAGUUCGGGAGAGGUGAGUGGAACUGCGAGUGUAGAGGUGAAAUUCGUAGAUAUUCGCAAGAACACCAGUGGCGAAGGCGGCUCACUGGCCCGAUACUGACGCUGGGGCACGAAAGCGUGGGG
rnacentral:rRNA from 1 species